UUAGUACGUGGUCGUAGACCCGAAACCAGGUGAUCUACCCAUGUCCAGGGUGAAGUUCAGGUAACACUGAAUGGAGGCCCGAACCCACGCACGUUGAAAAGUGCGGGGAUGAGGUGUGGGUAGCGGAGAAAUUCCAAUCGAACCUGGAGAUAGCUGGUUCUCCCCGAAAUAGCUUUAGGGCUAGCCUUAAGUGUAAGAGUCUUGGAGGUAGAGCACUGAUUGGACUAGGGGUCCUCAUCGGAUUACCGAAUUCAGUCAAACUCCGAAUGCCAAUGACUUAUCCUUAGGAGUCAGACUGCGAGUGAUAAGAUCCGUAGUCAAAAGGGAAACAGCCCAGACCGCCAGCUAAGGUCCCAAAGUGUGUAUUAAGUGGAAAAGGAUGUGGAGUUGCUUAGACAACUAGGAUGUUGGCUUAGAAGCAGCCACCAUUUAAAGAGUGCGUAAUAGCUCACUAGUCGAGUGACUCUGCGCCGAAAAUGUACCGGGGCUAAAUACACCACCGAAGCUGCGGAUUGAUACCAAUGGUAUCAGUGGUAGGGGAGCGUUCUAAGGACAGUGAAGUCAGACCGGAAGGACUGGUGGAGUGCUUAGAAGUGAGAAUGCCGGUAUGAGUAGCGAAAGACGGGUGAGAAUCCCGUCCACCGAAUGCCUAAGGUUUCCUGAGGAAGGCUCGUCCGCUCAGGGUUAGUCAGGACCUAAGCCGAGGCCGACAGGCGUAGGCGAUGGACAACAGGUUGAUAUUCCUGUACCACCUCUUUAUCGUUUGAGCAAUGGAGGGACGCAGAAGGAUAGAAGAAGCGUGCGAUUGGUUGUGCACGUCCAAGCAGUUAGGCUGAUAAGUAGGCAAAUCCGCUUAUCGUGAAGGCUGAGCUGUGAUGGGGAAGCUCCUUAUGGAGCGAAGUCUUUGAUUCCCCGCUGCCAAGAAAAGCUUCUAGCGAGAUAAAAGGUGCCUGUACCGCAAACCGACACAGGUAGGCGAGGAGAGAAUCCUAAGGUGUGCGAGAGAACUCUGGUUAAGGAACUCGGCAAAAUGACCCCGUAACUUCGGGAGAAGGGGUGCUUUCUUAACGGAAAGCCGCAGUGAAUAGGCCCAAGCGACUGUUUAGCAAAAACACAGCUCUCUGCGAAGCCGUAAGGCGAAGUAUAGGGGGUGACACCUGCCCGGUGCUGGAAGGUUAAGGAGAGGGGUUAGCGUAAGCGAAGCUCUGAACUGAAGCCCCAGUAAACGGCGGCCGUAACUAUAACGGUCCUAAGGUAGCGAAAUUCCUUGUCGGGUAAGUUCCGACCCGCACGAAAGGUGUAACGAUUUGGGCACUGUCUCAACCAGAGACUCGGUGAAAUUAUAGUACCUGUGAAGAUGCAGGUUACCCGCGACAGGACGGAAAGACCCCGUGGAGCUUUACUGUAGCCUGAUAUUGAAUUUUGGUACAGUUUGUACAGGAUAGGCGGGAGCCUUUGAAACCGGAGCGCUAGCUUCGGUGGAGGCGCUGGUGGGAUACCGCCCUGACUGUAUUGAAAUUCUAACCUACGGGUCUUAUCGACCCGGGAGACAGUGUCAGGUGGGCAGUUUGACUGGGGCGGUCGCCUCCUAAAGUGUAACGGAGGCGCCCAAAGGUUCCCUCAGAAUGGUUGGAAAUCAUUCGUAGAGUGCAAAGGCAUAAGGGAGCUUGACUGCGAGACCUACAAGUCGAGCAGGGACGAAAGUCGGGCUUAGUGAUCCGGUGGUUCCGCAUGGAAGGGCCAUCGCUCAACGGAUAAAAGCUACCCCGGGGAUAACAGGCUUAUCUCCCCCAAGAGUCCACAUCGACGGGGAGGUUUGGCACCUCGAUGUCGGCUCAUCGCAUCCUGGGGCUGUAGUCGGUCCC
rnacentral:rRNA from 1 species